rnacentral:rRNA from 1 species
GUCCUUUAGAGAAGAAUUUAAGGUUUAACCUGCCCAUUGAGGAUUUAAAAGGCCGCAGUAUUUUGACUGUGCAAAGGUAGCAUAAUCAUUAGUUUUUUAAUUGAAAGCUAGAAUGAAUGGUUGGACGAGAUAUAAUCUGUCUUUAAAUUAUAAUUAGAAUUUAAUUUUUAAGUUAAAAAGCUUAAAUGAUUUUAAAAGACGAGAAGACCCUAUAGAUCUUUAUAGAUUUUUAUAUAAAAUUAUUUAGGAUGUUUAUUUUUUUUUUUUUAAAAAAUUAAUUAAAUGGGGGAAAUAAAAGGAUGGAAAAAAUUUUUUUUUUUAUGAACAUUUAUUAAUGAUUUAAUUGAUCCAAAAUUUUUGAUUGUAAGAUUAAGUUACCUUAGGGAUAACAGCGUAAUUUUUUUUGAGAGUUCUUAUCGAUAAAAAAGUUUGCGACCUCGAUGUUGGAUUAAAAUUUAAUUUAGGUGUAGAAGUUUAAAUUUUUAGUCUGUUCGACUAUUAAAAUUUUACA